CUCACCUGGCACAUUGCCGGGCCGCGGCGUGGAGCCGGGCAGGAGCCGCGAGCCAGCUGCGUGAAGGAUGCUCCAGGAUGAAACGCCAUAGGCCUGUCAGCAGCAGUGACAGUUCAGACGAGAGUCCUUCCACUUCCUUUACUUCUGGCUCAAUGUAUAGGAUCAAGUCAAAAAUUCCAAAUGAACACAAGAAACCUGCUGAGGUUAAGCCACAGUUGUUCAUCUGUUCAACAAAGUCUGCCCGUUGUCCAAUCUGCAGCUUUCCGGGGCUGGGGUGUUGAAGAGAACCUGCUGGCUGUGAAACAAAAGGAAAGUUGUUUCAUUUCAUGCCGGUACUUUUCAGUGUGAGCAAGCACAUUUCUUGUCUUUUAAAAAAGGUAAAGCUUAAUUCUUCUACCCUUUAAAUUGAGGAGAAAGAAAAAAAUACAAUUUUCUUGAUAUUUUUCCUAAGGGGUAACAGAUUGCCCCAGAAAGAAAAAUCAAAUACUCUCCGAUCCCAUUUUCAAAAUUGAUUCUAGGCAUUCUCUUGGAGGAUGUUGAAUUUUUGCCCAGUGAGUUCAGAGCAGCAACCAAGAUUCACACACAUCUGGAAUACAGAGCACCCUAGAGAAGGAGCAGGAAGGAACCUGGAAUAUACUGAAGGCCUACUGUGUGCUGGGCACUACUAUGCUAGGCACUUCCGUCAUUAUUGCAUUCAUAUCAUGAUAACUUUAUAAGUAGAUACUGUUAUUUUGCUCAUCUUGCGGAAGAAAACAAAACCUCAGAGUGGUUCCGUAUCUCACCUGAGGUUCUAUGCUAUACAUAUCCCAACACAGAGUGGCUGAAAACAACACUUUACUAUGGUUGCUUGUGAUCCUAGGGUUGACAGAGCUCCAUUGGGUGAUUCUCACGUGGGUUCUCUCAUGCAGUUGCAGUUAGAUGUCAGCUGUGGCUGUAGUCUUCUGAAGACUCUACUGAGCUGGAUGGCCAAGCACAGUAGAGCGAAACUUUAUUGAACAAGUGCUGACCUGGGGCUGUCACUUGGGCUGUCAUCUAGAGCACCUGCCUACACACAGCCUCCCCACAGGAAGUUUGUGUUCCCAGAGGGAUGUCCCAAGAACAAGCAUUCUAAGAGAGCCAGCCAGAAGCUACAAGUCGUCUUCUGCCCUAGCAUCACUUCUGCUGUAUCCUAUUGGUCAAAGUGAACCACAGGCCUAACCCAGAUUAAAGGAGGGGUGAAUAGACUUCACUUUUUUUUUUUUUUUUUUCGGAGACGGAGUUUCACUCUUGUUGCCCAGGCUGGAGUG